AGUGAACGCUGGCGGUAGGCCUAACACAUGCAAGUCGAACGAAGCCUUCGGGCUUAGUGGCGCACGGGUGCGUAACGCGUGGGAAUCUGCCCUUUGGUUCGGAAUAACAGUUGGAAACGACUGCUAAUACCGGAUGAUGACGAAAGUCCAAAGAUUUAUCGCCAGAGGAUGAGCCCGCGUAGGAUUAGCUAGUUGGUGUGGUAAAGGCGCACCAAGGCGACGAUCCUUAGCUGGUCUGAGAGGAUGAUCAGCCACACUGGGACUGAGACACGGCCCAGACUCCUACGGGAGGCAGCAGUGGGGAAUAUUGGACAAUGGGCGAAAGCCUGAUCCAGCAAUGCCGCGUGAGUGAUGAAGGCCCUAGGGUUGUAAAGCUCUUUUACCCGGGAUGAUAAUGACAGUACCGGGAGAAUAAGCCCCGGCUAACUCCGUGCCAGCCGCCGCGGUAA
rnacentral:rRNA from 1 species